rnacentral:rRNA from 1 species
UACAGAGGGUGCAAGCGUUAAUCGGAAUUACUGGGCGUAAAGCGUGCGCAGGCGGUUUUUCAAGUCUGAUGUGAAAGCCCCGGGCUUAACCUGGGAACUGCAUUUGUGACUGCAAGGCUAGAGUAUGGCAGAGGGGGGUAGAAUUCCACGUGUAGCAGUGAAAUGCGUAGAUAUGUGGAGGAAUACCGAUGGCGAAGGCAGCCCCCUGGGUCAAUACUGACGCUCAUGCACGAAAGCGUGGGGAGCAAACAGG